rnacentral:lncRNA from 1 species
UGAGUGAAAUAUUGACUAACAAUGAGGGUGCCUUGUUGGAAGCGAAACAUCUCUUCUUGGAGAUCAGAAACCCUAAACAUAUUUGCUUGAGAAAAACGAUCCUGAAGAUCUUGCCAAACCUCUGAUGCUUGAUCAAUCCAGAGAAUGGAUUGUAGAAUAGAAUCAUCAAUGGAUCUAUGAAUCCAAGCAAGAACCAUAUUGUUGUAUCGCUCCCACGCUCCAUAGUACAAAUCUGUUGGUGACGGAGAAGGAAUACUGCCAUCUACAAGCUUGGGCUUGUUUUUAGAAAGAAGAGUGAGCUUCAUAGCUCUUGC